CUUCAACUCCUCUGAGGACUUCAAAACAUCUCAACAUUUCAGUAGCACAAUCAGCAUCAUUCCCCUCAUCAUCGCCAUGGCUGAAUGGACAGAGUGCAUGAAUUUUGGCAUUACUAUUGCCAGGCAAGCCAGCAAGGUCAUUCUGGAGGCAUUUAGAGCAAAAAAAGAUGUGAG